rnacentral:ncRNA from 1 species
CAAAAUGCAACGAAGAAAGAGUAGUAAUUUGAAGUCACUCACAGCGACGGGGAUGGUCGAUGAGAUUCCCUGGUUUGGGUUCGAAUGAAUUCACUUUCUGAGCAGGGAUUGGGCGGCCAUCAGUGCGAUGACCAAAUAAUCUACCGGUUAAUCUACCGUUAUCCAAUUACCGAGUGUACUUAAUUUAAGUAAACAAGGGUGGUACCGCGAAAGCUUCGUCCCUUUA